UCAGACGAUGCGUCAUGCAUAUCAAUAAGCGGAGGAAAAGAAACUAACAAGGAUUCCCUUAGUAACGGCGAGUGAAGCGGGAAGAGCUCAAAUUUGAAAUCUUCAAGGUUUUACCUUGACGAAUUGUAGUUUAAAGAAGUGUUUUCUGCUGAAGUUUUGGUAAAAGUUCUUUGGAAUAGGACAUCAUAGAGGGUGAGAAUCCCGUAUUUGACCAUUAUUUUCAGCUUUGUGAUACACUUUCAAAGAGUCGGAUUGUUUGGGAAUGCAGUCCAAAAUGGGUGGUAAAUUUCAUCUAAAGCUAAAUAUUGGCGAGAGACCGAUAGCGAACAAGUACCGUGAGGGAAAGAUGAAAAGAACUUUGAAAAGAGAGUUAAACAGUACGUGAAAUUGUCAAAAGGGAAGCGUUUAACACCAGUGUUGUUUUCUCGAAAAUCAAUUAAAAAUGGCUCGAUUUUGUAUUGCUUGAGACCUUAAAAGCUCACUGUACAUUUUUCGUGUCUUUUUUAAUGCACUUUUCGUUUAACAAGUCAACAUCAGUUUCUUUUGUUGUAAAAGGGUCAUUGGAAGGUGGCUUUCUUUUCGGAGAAAGUGUUUAUAGCCUUUGGCCUCUGCAAUCGGAGAGACUGAGGUCUGCAGCGUAGACUCUUCGGGGUUAGAUACAUUUGUGCUAAGUUAUAGCUUUUUAUAGACAACUUGUUGACUAUAAUUAGUCUUGUAGCUUACUCGCUUAUGCUAUUUUACCUACGCUUAGGAUGUUGACUGAUAUGUAGUCGUA
rnacentral:rRNA from 1 species